rnacentral:lncRNA from 1 species
AGGAGGAACACAUGAUAUACCAGGAAAGAGAUUUGAAAAUGUUCGGACAACAUUAUUCAAGAUAACUAAGAACCAGGCCUUGGGGAGGAGAUAAAGAAAUAGUAACUGCUUGUUUAAUUGGGAUGCAGCCAUGAUUUUUUCACUAUAUCCAAAAUGCCUGGGAGGCAAUCAUCAGAGAAUAAAUUCAGUAGUGGUAGGACUACAGGACUGGAACCCAUUAAAGGAAAAACGGAAAAGGUUUUGGAUUUUUUCAACCCAGCUGCCCUGGACAGAAGCCAGCCCACAGAUGCCUUAAUUCAAGAUACUGAAAGAACUCUAAGGAAUAGGCUCUGGGCCCUGGAAAGUCAUGAUAAUCUCUCACAUGAUGGAGCCAUUAGGAAAGCAGGGCUUGAAUCCAAAAAACCAGGCCUAGGGGAUUCAAAUCCAACAGCCUUCAUUGAGUCAGCAUGGCCCAGAACAGCCUUCAACCCCCUAAGGAGGGAGGUCCAAGAACUUGAGACUCCAUUCUACAAAGCUCUCCCAUCAUCCCAUGAUUUUCCUAGCAAUGCUAAAACAUUGGAGAUUUUCCAAAUACUACAACUGUUAAGAUGAAAUUUAACUCUCCCCUGAUUAUAACAAUGAAAUUAAUUAACUCUCCCCAAUUGUGAAGAUUAAAUUGUAACCCCUGACUAUUUUUAGAACACCCUACUUAAAGUUGAGUAUGGAGAUCUGCCUAUUUUUAGAUCUAAUCACCAAAAGUGUAAACAUUCCACUUUGAGUGGGAGGUCUGUGACCCACAUGUGCAAUAGUGGGUGAUGAAUCAGAAUCAACUGACUGCCUUCUGGGCAGUCCUAGAGCAGAGCAUCAACUGUGAUUGGUAGAUGAAAAAUUAGGGGAAGACACAGGAAGUGAUGGAAGAGAAAAUGUCUUUAAAAGGAAGUGACAACUUCCUGAAGGAAUUCAAUUCUUCAUGCUUUUGAGUUGAGGCUGGUGAAGAGGGGCAGAAGGAUCUACUGACUGGACCUGAGACCCUGUUCCUGACUGGACUGACACGUGGUGAGUGAAAGCUGACUCGUAACUGCUGGUUUUUCUCUGAAGAGACUGGCCUCAGGAAAAACCUUUCCUCUUGAGAAACUUCCCAGGUCCUUGGCUUUGCUGAG